UCCUUCCUCAUUGCCAUUUCUCCCCCGCGGUAUUCUUUCAAAUACAAUUCCUUUCUCCAGUUUUAUCUACUCCGGGAAUAUGGAUCUCCGGAUGGAAAGCCAUUCGUGCAAAACGCGUCUCUUGUAUUCUCAUCUUCAUUUUUCUCUUUUAGAAAGGGGAGGGAACACACUGUUUCAAUUCGAUGAAUUAUUCACCCUCUAUAUUUCCCUAAAGCUGCUUUUUUUUUCUUUUUUUGUUGCAGACAUGCACAGUGCCAACAAGCAUGGCUUAUCGUCCUUUAGGGAACCCGGGCAGGCAGUCGGCAGAGCUAGUGGAAGAAAACCGACCCCUUUUGUGAACAUGUGGCACUCCCGAACCGAAACUGACAACUUGAGACUGACCAAAAGCCACUGAGUUGAGCUGGUUGGGUGAAGAUUGGAAUCUGAAUCCACAAAUUAAAGUGAUUUCACAACAUGCUUACCUGUUGUAGCUAACUAAACCAUGGUUUCCUGAAUUGCUCCAGUUUAGAUAACCAUGCUUGGCUGGAUCCACACAGCAACUGGAGUCACAGACUAACCAAAUGAUCCUUGGAAACUCAACAUCUUUUCCUCAUGCUGAAAGCAAAGCUCCCUUCUUACCCACUGGACUGCAGAUGGGUUGCAUCAAUCCUCAAGCAAUGCAUGUGGUUUCCCUUCUGACAAAAGCAGAUGGCUAUUCUCUUUAGUCAAAUUUCUGUGCUCUUAUUAACAGAUGGCACACAAAAUGUUUGAUACAUCAAUGCAGACUGAUCCAAGUCUCCUUACAAGAUCAUCCAUGCUCCUAAGUAUCUAUCCGUUCAUUGUCAUCAUCCAUCCUAUAAAUACUACAACUUGAUUAUUUAUUCUGGAAUGUAUGAUGUUACA